rnacentral:rRNA from 1 species
UACGUAGGGUGCAAGCGUUGUCCGGAAUUAUUGGGCGUAAAGAGCUCGUAGGCGGUCUGUCGCGUCUGCUGUGAAAACUCGGGGCUUAACCCCGGGCCUGCAGUGGGUACGGGCAGACUAGAGUGCGGUAGGGGAGACUGGAAUUCCUGGUGUAGCGGUGAAAUGCGUAGAUAUCGGAAGGAACAUCAGUGGCGAAAGCGACUUCCUGGACCAGUACCGACGUUCAGGCACGAAAGCGUGGGAGCAAACAGG